rnacentral:sRNA from 1 species
CAAAAAAUGGUCAACUAACAAGUUGUAGAUCAUAAAAUUUUCUAUAUUUUGGUCGUUA